CAGAUCCUACGGGGGGCAGCAGUGGGGAAUAUUGCACAAUGGGGGAAACCCUGAUGCAGCGACGCCGCGUGAGUGAAGAAGUAUUUCGGUAUGUAAAGCUCUAUCAGCAGGGAAGAAGAAAGACGGUACCUGACUAAGAAGCCCCGGCUAACCACGUGCCAGCAGCCGCGGUAAUACGUAGGGGGCAAGCGUUAUCCGGAAUUACUGGGUGUAAAGGGAGCGUAGACGGUUAAGUAAGUCUGGAGUGAAAGGCCGGGGCCCAACCCCGGGACUGCUCUGGAAACUAUUCAACUUGAGUGCAGGAG
rnacentral:rRNA from 1 species